rnacentral:rRNA from 1 species
GAUGAACGCUGGCGGCGUGCCUAACACAUGCAAGUCGAGCGGACGGACGAGGCUUUUGCUUGGCUGAUGUGAGGGGCGGGCGGGUGAUGCACACGAGUAUACCCUGCCUUUGAGGCUGAUAUAACGACGGGAAAGCGGAUAUAACACCGGAUAAGAUUGUGAACCGCGGGGUUCAAAGGAGAAAACCGGUCUUGCUGGCACUAAUCGAGGGUUCCGAGCUGGAUUAGCUAGUUGGUAAGGUAACGGCCUACCAAGGCUACGAUGCGUGGCCGACCUGAGAGGGUGAUCGGCCACACUGGAACUGAGCCACGGUCCAGACUCCUACGGGAGGCAGCAGUCGGGAAUCUUCGGCAAUGGGCGAAAGCCUGACGGAGCCACGCCGCGUGUGUGACGAAGGUCUUCGGAUCGUAAAGCCCUUUUAUUAGGGAGGAACAUCUGUGUCAUUAAACGUUGACAUCUUGACGGUACCGAAUGAAAAAGCACCGGCUAACUACGUG